GACGAACGCUGGCGGCGUGCUUAACGCAUGCAAGUCGAACGAAAAGAGGGAAAGAGCUUGCUCUUUCCGGAAUUGAGUGGCAAACGGGUGAGUAACACGUAAACAACCUGCCUUCAGGAUGGGGACAACAGACGGAAACGACUGCUAAUACCGAAUAAGUUCCAAGGGCCGCAUGGCCCAUGGAAGAAAAGGUGGCCUCUACCUGUAAGCUAUCGCCUGAAGAGGGGUUUGCGUCUGAUUAGCUGGUUGGAGGGGUAACGGCCCACCAAGGCGACGAUCAGUAGCCGGUCUGAGAGGAUGAACGGCCACACUGGAACUGAGACACGGUCCAGACUCCUACGGGAGGCAGCAGUGGGGAAUCUUCCGCAAUGGGCGAAAGCCUGACGGAGCAACGCCGCGUGAGUGAUGACGGCCUUCGGGUUGUAAAACUCUGUGAUCCGGGACGAAAAGGCAGAGUGCGAAGAACAAACUGCAUUGACGGUACCGGAAAAGCAAGCCACGGCUAACUACGUG
rnacentral:rRNA from 1 species